GAUGAACGCUGGCGGCGUGCCUAAUACAUGCAAGUCGAACGCAGUGGGGACGGGUGAGUAACACGUGGGUAACCUCCCAUCAGAGGGGAUAACACUUGGAAACAGGUGCUAAACUGAUACUGAUUGAUGGACCCGCAGUGCAUUAGCUAGUUGGUGAGGUAACGGCUCACCUAGGCCACGAUGCAUAGCCGGACGGAGAGGAUGAUAGGCAACAAUGGGACGGAGACGCGGCCCAGACUCCUACGGGAGGCAGCAGUAGGGAAUCUUCAGCAAUGGACGAAAGUCUGACCGAGCAACGCCGCGUGAGUGAAGAAGGUCUUCGGAUCGUAAAGCUCUGUUGUUAGAGAAGCGGUAUCUAACGAGAAAGCCACGGCUAACUACGUGCCAGCAGCCGCGGUAAUUC
rnacentral:rRNA from 1 species